CUGGAUCUGAUGACCAAGGUGUAUUUGGAAAGUCAAAUCCUUUCACUGUUCCACCAAUAUUCACUCCAGCAGGAGUGCUAAAAGAGGAAGUUCACAAAGAUCCAGCCUGUGAUGAACCCCUUGAUCAAGGGUCAUGCAGAAGUUAUGUUAUUAAGUGGUACUAUGAUAAGGCAGCUAAUGCGUGUGCACAAUUCUGGUAUGGAGGUUGCGAGGGGAAUCAGAAUCGCUUUCAGACUCAGGAUGAAUGCCGCAGGAAGUGCUUACAGUUUUAAAAGAAGUGAACAGAAGGAUUAAUUUGUAAAGUCUUUGAGAGGAAUCCUUGUCACCUGGAGAAAAGGCACCACUCCACAGAACCUAAAAUAUUCUCAUAAUUUGUAACUGAUUAUAUUUGUGUGUGUGACAGAGAGAAGU